AGUGCUAUAGCUGUACGUAUUUUAUGUGGGUCAAAUCACACGUCAUUUACACAUCGGAUUUUCGUAGCACAUGAGAAUAUCUCCAUUUGAAGCAGAAAGUUUUUCAGCAAAGUGGACCUUUGGUAUGUUUCCUUUACUAUGGCUUAACAUCUGUCCAAGGCAGUUCUAUUCAACUCUUUUAAUUUCACUAUAUUUUGCUUCCUAACUUCGUAAUUUAUAUAAUCUAUUUGACACCGUCUCAUUUUGUAUUCUAACACCUUAUGUAAAUAUGAUUAUUUCUCAUAACAUCCUAUUAAGCAUGCAAUGCUACCCAA